rnacentral:rRNA from 1 species
AUGCGCACAGUAGCCGCCCUGGCCUUCUUCUGCUGCCACAGUCUUCCAUGCAGCCACUGGGCCUGGCUCCUCGCUCGGUCCAGUUCAUCAUCAGGGAAGGGGGGGGUUGCAUUCCUACUACCGGCGGCCUCGUUGCUGCUGCUGCGUAGCCCAAGAUUUCACUCUUUCGGAGCAAUCUGGAAAUGUUGGGCGCCACUGGCAUGUAAAAUCUUCAUGUGGCUGGCAGUGCAAUAUCGACUGUGGACGUCGGACAGAAGGGCUAGACACGGUUUGCAAGACCAAACGUCUAAAUGCUACUUUUGUGAUCAAGAGGAAGACACAGUCGACCACAUCUUGCUGCAAUGUGUGUUCUCGAGGCAAGUGUGGUACCUGUGCAUGUCGAGGAUGGGAUUGAGAGUGGAGCUUUGCCCAACAUAUGGAUCCCAUUUGGUGCAAUGGUGGACGGAAGCUAGAAAGCGCAUACAAAAGCAAACUCGGAAAAGAUUUGACACAUUCGUGAUGCUCAUUUGCUGGACACUCUGGAAACAGAGGAACGCAAGAGUGUUCGGAUCAAACCAUAUCAAAAAUGAAUGGGAGACGGUGGACUUGAUCUUCGAUGACUUGAGGACUUGGGCUACGGCAGGAGCAUCUGGAGGAAGACCGAUACCCGAGUAG